rnacentral:misc_RNA from 1 species
AAGUCGUAACAAGGUUUCCGUAGGUGAACCUGCGGAAGGAUCAUUAAAAGAGUAAAGGGUCUCCGGCCCGAACCUCCAACCCUUUGUUGUUAAAACUACCUUGUUGCUUUGGCGGGGACCGUUCGGUCUCGAGCGCACCGGUCUUCGGAUUGGUGAGGCCCGCCAGAGUCCAAACCAAACUCUUGUAUUAAAACCAGUCGUCUGAGUAUAAAAUUUUUAAUUUAAUUAAAAA